GCUCGGACCUCAGAUCAGGCAAGACCACCCGCUGAGUUUAAGCAUAUC
rnacentral:rRNA from 1 species